GAAAGCUAGGGGAGCAAAUGGGAUUAGAGACCCCAGUAGUCCUAGCCGUAAAUGAUGGAUACUAGGUGUUGUGCGAUUCCACCCGUGCAGUAGAAGUGUAAAAGAAAGUGGAUUC
rnacentral:rRNA from 2 species